GACGAACGCUGGCGGCGUGCUUAACACAUGCAAGUCGAACGGAAAGGCCCUGCUUGCAGGGUACUCGAGUGGCGAACGGGUGAGUAACACGUGGGUGAUCUGCCCUGCACUUCGGGAUAAGCUUGGGAAACUGGGUCUAAUACCGGAUAGGAGCCAUCUCUAGUGUGGUGGUUGGAAAGUUUUUUCGGUGUAGGAUGAGCUCGCGGCCUAUCAGCUUGUUGGUGGGGUAAUGGCCUACCAAGGCGGCGACGGGUAGCCGGCCUGAGAGGGUGUACGGCCACAUUGGGCCUGAGAUACGGCCCAGACUCCUACGGGAGGCAGCAGUGGGGAAUAUUGCACAAUGGGCGCAAGCCUGAUGCAGCGACGCCGCGUGGGGGAUGAAGGCCUUCGGGUUGUAAACUCCUUUCGCUAGGGACGAAGCUUUGUUGUGACGGUACCUAGAUAAGAAGCACCGGCUAACUACGUG
rnacentral:rRNA from 1 species